rnacentral:rRNA from 1 species
ACGUAGGGGGCCAGCGUUGUCCGGAAUUACUGGGCGUAAAGAGCGCGUAGGCGGUCUAUCAAGCAGUGGGUGAAAUUCCGGGGCUCAACUCCGGAGCUGCUCGCUGAACUGAUAGACUAGAGUUCGGGAGAGGGUAGUGGAAUUCCUGGUGUAGCGGUGGAAUGCGUAAAUAUCAGGAAGAACACCCGUGGCGAAGGCUGCUACCUGGAACGAUACUGACGCUGAGGCGCGAAAGCUAGGGGAGCGAACGG